rnacentral:rRNA from 1 species
UACGGAGGGGGCCAGCGUUGUUCGGAAUUAUUGGGCGUAAAGAGCUCGUAGGCGGUGUGUCACGUCGGCCGUGAAAACCUGCAGCUUAACUGUGGGCGUGCGGUCGAUACGGGCAUCACUGGAGUUCGGCAGGGGAGACUGGAAUUCCUGGUGUAGCGGUGAAAUGCGCAGAUAUCAGGAGGAACACCGGUGGCGAAGGCGGGUCUCUGGGCCGAUACUGACGCUGAGGAGCGAAAGCGUGGGGAGCAAACAGG